rnacentral:lncRNA from 1 species
AAAUUCCAGCGGCAGUGUUUCCUCACUUUCAAAGUUUAACACGAUUGAUUGUGUGGGGUUGUCACAAAUUAAAAUACAUAUUUUCAGCGUCUAUGAUCGGAAGCCUUAAGCAGCUCCAACGCCUAGAAAUACGCUCCUGUGAGGAUUUACAGGAGAUCAUCUCUGAAAACAGAGCAGAUCAAGUGAUCCCUUAUUUUGUCUUUCCACAGCUCACCACUUUGAUACUCCAUGAUCUACCAAAACUUAGAUGUUUGUACCCUGGAAUGCAUACUUCGGAAUGGCCCGCCCUAGAAAUUCUUUUAGUGUAUCGUUGUGACAGAUUAAAGAUAUUUGCGGCAGAUUUAUCGCAGAAUAAUGGGAAUGAUCAACUUGGUAUUCCUGCACAACAGCCCCUAUUGCCAUUGGAAAAGGUAUGAAGCCAUUUUCUAGAUUUUUUAUCUAUAGCUUAUUUUUAACUUUGAAAAAUAUGACAAAGUAUUGAUAAAUUAAUGCUCAAUAAAUUGAAAACUUUUAUUAUACAAUAAUCUUUGCUAGUCUAGACUAAGGGAUCAAUGUGGUAGAUUAAUGAUUAUAUAAACUUUUUUAGGUAUAGCAUUUGUAAAAGAAUCUUGAGUCUUUCCAUAUAGAAGAACUUACAAAAUAAAUUAGUAAUUUAUUAUUGUGCAGUAAAAUAAUUUCGAGUCAGUAUAAAUCAACCUUUUUUCCCUAAUUUCUUUUUUACCUCUAAAAUUAACAUAUAAAAAAUCAUUUAAUAAAUUUUAUCAAUAAUUCAAUUUUUUUAAAUAUAAUAUAAAACAAAUACUAUAAACUCACUGCUUAUGAUUGGAUUACUCAAAAUCAUUUGAGAAAACAUCAAUUGACCUUAUUAGUUAUUAUGAUUGAUGAUGAUCAGAUCUUACCCAACUUGACGGAACUAUCACUAUGCGGAAAAGACGUGAAGAUGAUUUUGCAGGCCGAUUUCCCACAACACCUUUUUGGCAGUCUUAGAGAUCUAGGGAUUGCUGCUGAUGACUCAGCUUGUUUUCCAAUCUGGAAUGUACUGGAGAGAUUUCACAAUCUCGAAAUGCUCGUACUGUGUUAUUUUUCAUUCCACGAAGAGGUAUUUUCGAUGGAAGGAUGCUUAGAGAAACAUGUGGGGAAGUUGGCAAUGAUAAAAGAAUUAGAGCUGUACCGGCACUAUCAUCUGAAGCAGCUGUGCAAACAAGACACCAAAUUUGGCCCCAUCUUUCAGUAUCUUGAAAUUCUAAGAGUAUAUCAUUGUCAAAGUCUGUUAAUUCUAUUGCAAUCAUCAUCGGUAUCUUUUGGGAACCUAACAAAACUUGUAGCUUUCGAUUGCAAGAAAUUGAUACACUUAGUAACAUCCUCCACAGCAAAAACUCUAGUGCGACUCGUAUCACUUUGUGUAUACGGAUGCAGAGCAAUGACAGAGGUGGUAAUAAAUGACAAAGACGGGGUUGAAAAAGAAGAGAUUGUUUUCCGCAAAUUGAAGAGGUUGGAACUGCGUGAUUUAGACAGCCUCACAAGUUUCUGCUCUGCCAAUUACACCUUCAAAUUCCCAUCUUUGCAAGAUCUAUCUGUGAUUGGUUGUCCCAAAUUCAAGAUUUUCACUACAGGAGAAUCAAGCACGCCUCCGAGAGUAAACGUCUGGUAUGGAGAGACAUCGAAUCAACGGCGUUGGGCUAGUAAUGAUCUUAACACGACCAUACAACAAUUACAUGCUGAGAAGGUACGGAUAUACGUGUUACUCUCUAUCUCCCAUGGAAAAAUUUUACAAAAUUUGCUUUUUCUUUUUAAAUAAAAUAUGGAUAAGAUAUUUGUUAUAAAGUUAGUUUAAAUUGAUGAAUAAGAAUUUUAUUUUCAGCUGUUGGCGGGGUCGUCGUCAUACUCUGUGGAUUACGACUAAUUUCAUAGGCUUCUUAUGACUUGGAGUUACGAAUUUGAAGAAGAAAGUCCCAGCUGGUAAUUAAUUCUUAUUUUAUUUAUUUGAUCUCGUGGGUUGUUUCACAAUUUCAUCUCAAUUGUUUAGAAUGGGUCACUUGGUUUACUGUCAAUAUGGAAUGCACUUUUCAUGAUUCGUUCAGGCUUUUAUGGGCAGAUUUUGCGUCAUUGAGCGUCUUUUGGUCUAAUUUAAUUUAAUUUGAGUAUUUUGUUUUGAGAGUUCCCUUGUUCUCUAAAAUUUUAUAAUUCCUUGCAAGCAUUUUAUGUUGAAAUUUCAAUAAGAGGGGCAACACUUGCAUGUUGAAAGUGUUCAGAUUUUAUAAUUCCUUGAAAUCAUGCAAACUUUUUUCUUUCUUUCCUUGCCAAUUAUUUAUUGUCAUCGUUACUGUUCCGUUAAAUUUGUUUGUGCUCUGUUUGUUCAUUGGAAACUUGGAAGGCAACGAAAGUACUUAAGAGAAUGUUCUUGCCUAUUAACACAUAAUUAAGAACAGCUGAAUAUCAUUCAUCGGAUAAAAAAAAAAAAAUCUAAUUAGCCCGUCAUGCCUACAACAAAUGCUUAAACCAUCAAAGGUUAGCUAUGAACAAAUAUAUUAUGGAAAUAUUGUUUUAAAGCAUUCGAUAGAAUUUUCAAAAAUAUCAAGUUUUCACAAACCAAAAAGGGAACUAAUUUGGUCUAGUUUUGUUACAAGUAUAGAAGUACAAUAUUUUGUCUGUUAUUCUUGUUAAAAUUCUCAGCUCUGUGUUUGUAGAAUGUCUGGAUACUGAUAGAGAUUCAAGUCACUCUUCUUCUGUACAACAUUCGAAAUGAAGCCUUUUUUCCCCCUCCAUUCAAAUUUUAUGUUGUGAAGGGUUUCCGUUUCCAUCUUCAUGUGAUUUACUUCACCGUGUCGCUACAUCUAUGAUAGUGUGUGUUAUAUCCUGUCUGUUUCCUUUAUUUGACCAUCGAAAGUUCAAAGACAGUUUAUUCUAAAUAUGUGUAAAUUCAUUUUCUGUAUAAGCUCUUUGUAUGCAUUUUGACAUUUUAUUCUCAAUAUGUAUGACUUAAUGAGAGGUCUUUUGUUAUACAUAUGUCCCGAAUUUCUUGUGUAUUUUUAGAUUUGAUGAUGUAUUCUUGUCUCAUUGCAAGGUCUUAUAAUCACUGAUUCUCAUUUCUCGUAUACAUACGUAUAUAUGGGCAAGAAAUUUGGUAAAUGAUCUAGUCAUUUUCUCAGUAAAACAUCUAGUACUUUAUAUGUUGGAAGGGUACUAAGCAGCAGGCCAAGAUUUGUCAACUCAAAGAUCGUCAUGUCAUUUUUUAAAAAUAUUAAGGAAUUCUAAGGAACCUCAAGAGAAAAUUUAGAAAUACUAUAGGGACUACUUCUGCAUUGUUCAUUUUCGUAAUUACGUUCAUUAUUAUUUUUUUUUUUUCAAUUAAUCAAACUUCAGUUCCUUAGCAUUCAUCUAAUUAUGUACUUCAUCUGGAAAUCCUUAAUUUACUCAUCAAAAUGUGAACGCUAAGGAAACUAUGAAAAUAAAUAUAAAACUACUAGCUAAGUUUAUCAUCACAUAUGAUCAGCACUAGACUAUCAAAUAAUCAUAAAAGCAUAUAAAUUCAAGCUACUGUAUUAUUUGUAGCUUUCUAAUUUGUGUUUAUAAAGAAUUUAGUUAUGCAACAAAAAAAGGGGAUACGAAAGUAGCCAUAAAAAAUACUCUGUUUUGUAGUACUUCAACAUAUCUACUGGCUAAGAAGUAGCAUCACAUAUGAAAAUGUCGGCACAAAUACUCAAGCAAGUGCAAGUGUGUGGACGAGCCACUUGUGUUAUCAUGAAACUUAAUAUAAGUAUCAAAAGUUGGUGGAUUAUUGUGGUUUUCCUGCUUUAUCGUUUUUGGUUGAAUAAAAUAAUAUAAAGCUGUCGAUUCUGCAUUAAAGCAUAUGAUUUGUGAAGAUAUGAAUACCACAUCUUUCCAACUCCUCAACUCUUGAGUAAUUACUAGGUUCCCACCCAUGCAAACAUAUUUUCUUUCGAGAAAAAGGGAUGCCUGAUUCAGGGCAUCCGUUGCCUCGGUUUAUUUGAUUUUGUUUGGUUCAAUUGUGGUUCUGUUAUUUAGUUUUUCCUCUGAUGGUUCUGUUUCUCUGUAUAUUUCACUGGGUUUGCUUUGCUUCACAUCUUUCUUUCAAAACUAAGAAGGCAAGGAAAGAGAGUACUUAAUUAGAAAAUGCAAGAAGCAUAUAUUAAAUAUGCAUAUGGCUCAUGCUCUUGCCUAUGAACACAUAAAGAACAACUGAAUAUCCUUCGUCGGAUAACAAAAAAGAAAAUCUAAUCAUCCAUUUAUCCAUACAAGAAAUGAUACCAUUACUUUUAGCAAAUUGAAAGUGUUGUAUCUUUUUUAUUUAAAAAGUCUCUUAAGAUUUUUAUUUUUUCCGGUAAUUACACCUCCAAAUUUCCACAGCUAUAAUGUCAAUUUGUAAUUAUUUGUCCCAAGAUGCAGAUUUUCACUAGAGGAGAAUUAAUAAUUACGCUAUUUCGGCCCAGAGGACCAUGAAGCCCCUUGGGUUGUUGACAUUAACACUAGUGCGUUUACCAACCUAAACCUUCGGUUUGGUCAACAGUGUCUAAAUUGAACCUAUGGUGAAUGGAGGAAAAAGAAAAAGAGAUUUAUUAGAAACCUCCCCUGAAGUUUGAUAUAUUUUUAGUUUAAUAGAUUAUAUUUGUGUAUUCUCAAAUACCUCCCCUGCUGCUAGGGUUGGCAAUAGGACGAGAUAUGAUAGAAUUUACCAAUUACAGUCCCAUCCUGUAUAUGUAAAUGGGAUUAAAAAACAUAUCAGUCCUGUCCCUAUAUUUGUUUUUAGGACAAAAAAUAUAUCCUAAUCUCGUCCAAAAAGAGAUAGAAUCCUGUAGGAUCUCAUCCCAAUUAGAAAAUUUUUUAUUCUUAAUCGAUAAUGAGACGAGAUGGGACAGAAUUUGUCAAUCCUACUCCCGUCCUGCAUAUGUAAUUGGGAUAAAAAAAAUCUCACUCCCGUCCUUAAAUUUUUUUAUGGAAUAAAAAUAUGUCCCAAUUUCAUCCCAUCAAAAAAAAUUAUCAUUCCUAUCUGGCGCUAGUAUACCUUUCUUAAUACCCCUAAUUUAGAAAAAAAAAAUUUGUAUACUGAAAAUAAAAAAUUGUUGGUUAGUACCAGCAUGUUUGUUUUGGUGCCAAGGGAUGUGAAUGCAAUGAAAAUAUCAAAUCAUCCCCGUUACUUUCCAAAAUGACUUUGAUAAAUGAAACAAACAAAAGAUUUAAGUCAAAUAUCAAAGAAUCAGAGGGAAGCUGUUUUGCACUGGCCUAAUUGCUAUGCUGUCUGAAUCAAAUUUCGUUCAAUCUUGGUGUCCCUCUUUUAUUCAAUAUAAGAAGAAUGAAAAAAGUAGGUUGUUUUUUACACAAGUGAUAGAAAUACUUCUGAACUUUAGACAGUGUAACACCAUACACAUCAAAGAAAUAAGACAACAAACCAAUUCCCAUACAUAAAGCCAACAAAAUUACUAUUUAGUACAAGAGAUGCAACAUAAUUUUAAAUUUUAUUCCUCAAGAGCUACAAGUGAUACAAAUGAGUACACAAAUCAACCAUCUGUAGCUUAACCAGAAGUUGAUGCGAAUGCAUGAAAAUGAAAAAAGCCUACGAAUAGUAUACAUGGUAAGUAUGACUAAGUAAAAUAACAAUUCUGAUUGAUAAUACCACCAGCAACAGGACCUUCAUACCCUCUCUUUAUUAAUCACUAGUUGGUAUGCUAUAGCCCAGCCAAGUGUAAAAUGAAUGGCGAUCGAGCUCUUGAGCCUCUUUAUACCCUCCAUAAGUUGUCCUCAACUUCAUCAAGGACUGCAAAUAUAUUAAGCAAUAGAAAAAUAAUCGUGAUACAUUGAGUAACAUAUGGAGCAUGCACCUGCUUUAUAAAUAUCCAAGAGUCUGAAGAUAGAUACAUGGAGCUUGAUUUGCCAAAUGAUCUAUCAAAAAAGCCUCAGUGCAAAAUCUUCAUCCAUAUUCCAAACAAAACCAGGCAUAUCAAUCCUCUGCCAGGCGACAAUCCUAUAUAUGUAAAGCUUCUUAACAGGGAGCUCCGGCCUUUAAUCUGGGGGUCUCCUCUCGUCAAUAACUUAAACAUUCAGCGUGAUUUUCCAAAGACACUGCAAUUUUCAUUUAUAACUCAAACAAAUAAGACAGGACUUAUCUAAAGACACUGCAAUUUUGGACAUUGGCUAACAAGUGUGAUUAGGUCAAGACUUUGUAUAGUGGCAUAGCUCAUAUUCAAGGUUAUUAGGCCAGAGCAAACAAAAUUGACAGAUCACACUAUUUGAGACCAUAAUCAGGUUGCAUCUACAACUCAUUUUCCAAAAUUAUACCAAUCUCUAACCCAGUACAUUGCUAAUCAAUAUUCCUGAUUAAUAUAGGCAGCAAUGACUGUAUAAACAAUUAUUUCCAGCCAACCAGGUAUGCUAGAAGCCAAAUCUAUAGUAGAGAAGGUUUUGCAGAUCUCCUAAAAAAAAAUCUCAUCUUCAAUUUAACAAAAACUAGCAUGAAUCUCUGUUCAAUAAUCAGCAGUAAUACCUUAAACAAAUAAAAAAAUUUCAGAGCCAUUUUCAAUCUGUCACACGGCAGCAUAACAAAUCACAAGCCAUUUUCAAUCAAUCACAAGCUAACAUGCAUUUGCAACAAUCAUUCACCUACAACUAACAUUAAUCGAUGGAAAAAAAUGUAAGCGACAGAAAUACUCUAAAAAAUUUUCGAGACCCAUUAUUCUUUUUUCUAUUUUUUUACCAAAUAGAGUGACCAUGUCGUGCUGUGAAAUUUGAUAAGAAACCUCGACGUGUUUGUUUUGUUACUGUUUUGGGACUUUCAUUUGGUUUGCUUGUUAAUUUUAUUAUUGGUUCGGUUUCGGUUUUCAUUCAUCCCAACCGAAAUGAAACCGUCCAAUUUAGGUUAUUGCACAACCGAAUCAAAUAUCGAACCGAAUCUGAUACGGUUCUUCAAUUUUCUGCCCACUCCUACUUCAUGACAAUAAACAACAAAAACAAAAUCCAUAAUAUAGCUUUUGAAUUCUUAAAAGGGGGGAGAAAAAAAAGCACAGGUGAGUAAGCUAUUAAGGUAAGAAGUUGAGAUUAGACACGUAUCAGUAAUAUUGAUAUUUAAAUUUUACUCAAACAACUCUAAUUCAAAAUAUGUAGAAACAAUUCAAAAUAACAAUAAAAAUUAAAAAAAUAUUAUUUCAAGGAAUCCAAACAGGGUAUAUGAUGAGUAUGAUGCUGUUUUAAAUUCUCAACUGAGGAAAAACAGAGAUAGAGAAAGAACAUACUAUCAACACCAGCAAAGGCUUUGGAUUCUUAAGCAGGUGGUGAUGCAUGGUUUGUCAGGAGGUGGAGAUGGAAUUCUGAUUUGUUGUUGGCAAUAGCACACGAUUUUUGGCAGAUUCGGGCGAAAUUACAUUCUUAUAUAGAACCGAGGAAAGGGUGCUGGCCAAUAAAUGAUAAAGGCCUGUAUAAAGAAAGACAAACAAUAAUGUGGGCUUUAGAGAAUCAGAAACUUGAUAGAAGAGAAGGGGAAUAUCAACAAUUAUUUCAGAAGAAAGAAAAAGAAAAAAGCAAGCACGCUUGAAAAUUUUUCAAGAUAAUGAAACCGCAUUAAUUAACAGGUUAAAAUUUUUUGUAAGAUUACUGGUUUCUAAAAAAUUCUAUGAACCUUUCAGUUUCACAGAAAGAGAGAUAAAGACAAAGACAGUAGUCUACAUUAAAAGCACUUAAAAAAUCCAGUGCAGAAUACAUCUCUAAAAGUACUACAAAAUAUAUACAAGUAAAUAUUUAUAAAAGAAGCAUUGAAACGAGUCAGAAUGUGACCCACCGUGUGUCCUUGACUGUAUAUAGCAUUAAAGCAAUACUCCCCUAGUAUGAUAUGCGCACACACAAUUUAUAUAGACGCAUAAAACAAAAACAGCACAAAUCUUAUUAUUUGUCUUGCUAAAACCCAAGAAAUAGCUUAUAAGAUGAAAUGGACUGCCCAUGGUUCAUACAAAGAAAAGAAUAAGCCACAUAUUAAUUGAAGCUAACAACAGACAUAAAAUGAUAAAUGAAAAAUGCUCACCUUCAGAAUGAAGUCAAUGUAAUGAAGAGCUCAAAUUCAGUUCUGCCACCUGAAAAAAUGUGGUAUUCACCAGUAACUUUAACCCCAUUUUGCUAACCCUUAACUUCUGCAAGCUUUGUGUGGGGAAAAUUAUAAUACCAAAUCUAUCCCACACAGCAUGAGAACAAAUCUUAGCCCAAGUGAAUUAAAAGUACUCAAGUAUAUAUUUUAUAAUGCAUAAUAUAAGAUCAUACCCUAUCCCUGCUUUGGGGCCACUUAAUUGAGUGUUUGUAUCCUUCCGGUAAAGGAGCAAUACAGGUACAAGCUUCUUCAGGGCAAUACCUCUCUCGAUGUUCAUAAUGCUUUUGUGCUGGAAAGCAUUCUAAUUGCUUGCAAAUUGUCCAGGCAAGGGAUGCAAUCUGGCCUAGCAGUGGCAUUACACACUUUCCAGCGAUGACCAUACGGGUCCUUAGAUAUAGAAGUUUGUUGUGAUAUUUUCUGAUUCUAUGACUCAAUAGGUUGAGUUAAGCAAGCCCCAUUCUGAGCAUUAGUUUCCUUCAGAAUUUCUGACUAGUCACCAAAAGGAAAAAUCUCAGUUGAAGCCUGAUCCUUUCAACGACUCUCAGUGUCAUUAUCUUGAUCUUGAGAAUCCUUCUCCUUUUCAAUCUGACUAGCCUCAUCCAUUUAUUUUCAUCCAAGCUCUUCUCUGAUUCAAUUUGCUCAAUUUUAUUCAAUUCGCCGCCUUCUGUUUCUCCAGCUUCUGAAUUCGAAUCUCCACCUUCACUUUUAGAUUCCUUAUCUUCCCUUUUUCUAACAUCGUAAUUUUUAGACACCACCUUAGAUUCCUCUUCAGACUCAGUAUUCUCAUCAAAACUCUCCUUCACUAAAUUCUCUUCCUGGUUUUGAUUAACCAUAUUCUUAGAUUCACUCGUCUCACCAUCACCCUCAUACAUAUUCAUCUCUUCGUAAUUAUCUUCCACUCUAUUCUCUAACUUUUCAACAGGAACAUCAUCCCCAUCCCCAUUUGUUGAAUCCUGUCAUUCAUCACCUUGAUUUUCUACGGAAGGCCCAGAAAAAUCUCAGAUACUCUCUGUUUCACUUUGCUUAUAGGCUCUUAAGAGGACAACAUCCUGGAUCCCACACCAGUACAACUGAUGAUGACAUUAACAUCCAAACGCCAACCAGAAAACGACCAACAAACACUACUACAGUAACCAUUGAACAAAGACAAUAUCACAGGUUCUUUAGCUAUUUAAUAUUCCAUCAAAUAUAAUUAUAUAAUACCUACCAAGGAUUUCCGAAUAGAAGGCAUUCUCAUCAUUCUCAUCUCAAGCAGCAACCUCACCAGUAACACAUUUUCAUAUCAUGUUUCCACCACAGGUCGCACAUAUAGAAAGAAUGAAGUAUUAAUUAGCUUCAACAGAGCCUAUUUCUUUAUUUCUUUUUUUCCCAAAUAAACCUUCAUUCUUAUACGUAUAAUUAAAAUAUCAACUGAAUAAACAAAGUCUGUGAUUACUAGUACAACAUUUUCAUUUUCAAGCGGAGCUAGAUAAGAUAUCGAUGUCUGUCAAAUAAACCUAAUUUAAUCUUGAAACCAUAAACUGCACUAAGCAUAGCAGCAAAGCCAGAGCCUGACUAUAAAGAAGAUAAUAUAUAUAUAUAUAUAGAGAUUAAACUUUUGUUUUAUCUUCCACAAGCAAGAAAUUCGACUGGAACAUGAAAUUUUUAACAAUCUUACAAACAUUAUACACAAAUCUCAAUUAACGGCAAAUAGGGGGAUGAAUCACUGACAUCACCCAAUUCAUAUAUUCAAUUAAUGUAUUCCCACCCCAGUCAGCAACGUGCUACCACAGUUGAUUAGUUAUUAGGGAUAAGGCUUACCGCAAAGAACUGAAUGGCGUUAUCUAAAUAAUGAGUUGAAACGGCAUCUGCAAUCGCAUUAAAUGGCAUUGAACCGAAAGGUAGGGUUUAAAUGAAUGUUGGCCUGAGACAAAAGGGCGUGGCAUAUUGGGGUCUUAUGGCUUCGUUUUGUUUCAAUUGACGGAGGGAAGCUGAGCGAAAGCUUUGAUAUGUAAAUUUCAGCUUAAUUUAAGCUAGGGUCUUCUUUCGAUUGAAACAGAAAAAGAUUUUGGGUUAUUAAAGUGAAAGAGAUGGAAUAAUACAAAAAAUUAGCAAAGUGAAAGCGAGGGAAUACAAGAUUUAUUAUGGGUCCUAAGAGCUGAAGGCAAUUCGCCAUGGUUCUGAUAUACGGAAAACUUUCUUAGCUUUAUCGGUGGUGGAAGUGAGGGUUAGGGCUAGGGUUCUACACAAUGUCGUUGAGAAUGGCUCAAAGUUCAUUGAUUUUAGGUUGCGGCGAGAGAGGGGUUUAUUCAACACUUGUCGAUAUUUGGCUGAAGUGUUGGUAUGUUUUAAGUUUCAUAAAAACGACGUCGUUAAUUUAAACGUCAUCAUUUUAAGAUAUUAUAAAUCCACAAAACUUGAGCAUCACUUAUAUCUAUAAUUUAUUUAUGUUAGUUAAGUUAUAAGUUAUGAAUAUGUCAUAAACUCUAAACAUAUGAAUAUAUGCCACACCAAUAAAGUGUUGGCUCCAUUAGCAAUGGAGUCCCCUUAAGUGGCUUGAUUGGGUUUGCUCCUCAGUUCUAGUUGCAGGGAAGUCGCCUUUGUUGAGAGAACUUGUGCCUCCCGGUUCGAGCGGGGACUUCUAAUAUGGGUUGUGGUACGGGCUUAAAAGUGUCUCCCACAAUUGGGGCCCUCCUCAAAAUACCUCGUGGUUAAGACAAAAUAUAUAUAUAUAUAUAUGUCACAAAUCUAUCACACUUUCAUGAUACAUUUGUGACGUAUCGAAGGUUCAUGUCAUUCCUCCGGUGCAACAUUCGAAAUAAGGCCAUUGCCCUUGUGAAAUUUGCAUUACUUCUAUUGAAAAUCUACAUAAUAAGAGCUCUCCCGUUGCAUUUUUCGUUGUUUUGCUUUUGCUUUACUUUAAUGUGUCGCUACAUGAACAAGUAUAUUGCAACAUAUGUACCAUCAAUUUUGCUAUGUCUUAUUCCCAAUUUUAUAUAAUACAAAUCAUUUUGAAAUUAUAAUAACAACAACGGGGUCAAGCACAUUUUGUGUCUUGAAGAUUUGCGAGGGCUCCAUCCUACAAAGUUAAAUUAUUAUUGUUGUUGUUGUUAUUAUUAUUAUUAUUAUUAUUGAUGACGAUGAUGUGCUGUUGAUGUUUUUAUUAUUUGAGAGAUGGUAGAAUAAAGUUAUUCAUUUUGGAGCUUAACAGUGGAAAAUAAGGAAAACAAGAAAAAAGUUGUAUUCGUGUUAAUUUCCUUUGUCAUUUCUUGUUUCUAGAAAUAUUUUUGCUUCGUUUAUUCUAUUUUAUUUGCUUAUUUCAUUGGGCUUGCUUCACAUAUCAUAUCUAUCUUUCUUUCAAAAUUUGAAGGGAAGGAAAGUACUUAGAAAAUGCUCUUGCCUAUGAACAUGUAAGAAAAACUGAAUAUCAUUCAUCGGAUAACAAAAAACACUAAUCAGCGCAUAAUCCCUAGAACAAAUAAUUAAACCAUCAAAUGUUAGCUAUGAACAACUAUAUAUCCUAUCAUAUUUAACUUCUAUUUAUGGUCAUAUCCCUAACAUAUUUAGAGUGGUUUUGGAAUUUUGAUUACAUCUGAGCUUUCUCAAAAGCAGAUGCUGUGAAAUGAAGUUACUAUUUGCUUUUCAAAACUGUUAAUAAUGAUAGUAGUUUAGAAACUUGAACCACCACCUACGUGAGUCUGUGAAUUUCACCUUUUUGUUUGAUAAUUGGAGGUUUUCGUUUAAUGCCUAAAUUCGUAAACUGUGGAAACGUUUGAAAGCAUCUAUAGCAUAUUCAUUAAAAUCACGUUUUCACAAACCAAAAAGGGUACUAAUUUGGUCUCGAUGUGUGAAAAGUAACACCUACCUAGCCAUCCAUCAGGUAAGUGAAUAAGUAUAAAAAUAUUAAUAUUUUCUCUGUAGUUCCUAUUAAAAUUGUCUAUUAUAGUUGCAGAAUGUCUAGGAAGUAUAAAAGGAUGUCGUUCAAACAUGAUUAAGAUAGAAAGGGAAAAAAUAAGUAAUUAUCCAUGGACCACUUCAUCUUUUAGCCUUUAUAAAAAACAUACAAACAUUUUUUAUUGUUUUCAACAAUCCAUCUAAUAUUUACAAACUGCAUCACAGCUCCACUACUAUCAUAACCCUUUAAAAAUGUUGCUUAAUCACGAGAACCUAUUACUUGUAAAUUAUUUUUCAAGCAAAUGCAACAAUAGAUCUAGUUUUGAUCUGGGUGACUUUUAAGUGUACAGAAACGAGGAGAACGACCUUAUGUCAAGUUGAAGGAUUAAGAUAAAUCAAUUACAAAUCCAAACAAAACUUAUGAGUGACAUUUUAGUAUUAAGCAAACCUACCAUAAUUAAUCAUCCAGUGAUAGGUUUGUUUUCAAUUAGAGUAAUGAUAGAUAUCUCAAAAUAUUUUAUCCCAAAUGGUGUGUCAUUACUUGAAUAGUAGGUAAUUCUUUCAAGAUUUGAGUGAAUUAAUUGUAUUAUCUCUUCAAUCUAUUGAUAAAUACCAUAUCAUUUGAGAUAAUUUUUUAAGAUAAAAGAUUUAGGAUGUGUGGCACUACUCAUUAAUUAUGCAACUUAAAUGCAAUUUUUUUAAAACCAUUUAUUUUCAUUAAAUUUUGAGCCAUUAAUGAAAUAAAUAUAAGUAAAGCUAUUUGAACCUACUCAUUUUCUCACUACAUCAUUUAUUUAAUCAAAUUAAAAUUUAAUUUUAAAAUAUAAUUCAUUAAAUUAUUUGUUUGACUUUGUUCUCUCUCUCUCUCUCUCCCUUCCUCUCUCAUUCUCUCCAACCAUUUUUUUUUUGUUUACAUAGACUAAAUAUUUCAAUUAACAAAUAAAAUUGUUAUAAAGAAUAACAAAUUUAACCAUAGACACCAAUAUUAAUUAAUAAACAAAAAAAUUGAAGAGUGAUAGAAUUAAAGUCUGUUAUACCACAAUUUGCUUUACUUUUAUAUUUUUAUUUUAGUGCGGAUAUGAUGUAGACAUUAUUUUAGGAUUUUAUAAUUUUUAUUAUUUUAUCGUUUUCUAUUUUAAUUAUAGUCAACUAUGGUAUAUGUCUUAGUUUUUUUAUUUCUAUUAAAAUUGUGAUUUAGUUUUUCUUUUUAAGUUAACUUAGUGAAGUAGGUUUAUUAUAUUAUAAAUCAAAAUCUUAUUAUUGUAACUUCAACUAUUGAUCAACUAAUAAAGCCCUUUUUAAUAAUUCCCUCUAAAAUUAUUUAUUAAAAUCUCUCUUGCAAAGUUAUUUAGAUUAAAACGUCGUCUAAUCUCGCUUUAUGCGUUAUUAAAAUCUCAUUGAGCCAUUGUUAGAAUGAGAUCUACUCACGUUUCGAUUAGGACGUAAACUAUCCACAUUACCUUAGCCAGUAUUAGAACAAUAGCUAAUAUUUCCGACCUAUCAAUUCCACUUCCGCUAUUCCAAUUUGUUAGUUUGUAUUAGAGUGGUUCAAUGCCAAUUGCACAGUUUUCCUGGCUACCCAUAUCCAUCCCCACCAAAUCCAUCAUUGUUUAUGCAACAAAAAAAUAUUACAAAAUUACAAAACCUUAGCAGCCGCCCACCGCCAUUUCCACUCUCCACUAAUAGUUCAUCAUUGGCUAAUCCAUCUACCAAACUCAUUAGCCACUACUGACCAAACCUUAGCCACUCCUGCCAUCAAUCGCCGCUUGUACCUACUAUAAAUCAUCUAGACCUAAAAAUUGGGAGCAUCCACCAGCUGCCACCGUGAAACCAACCAUCUUCACUGUCAACCAACACCACCACUAAACUUGCUAGAUUCCACUGGUCAUAACUUGACAAAACCCACCAAUGAUCACCGCCAUAAAUCGCCACAACGCUAACCCAAAACCCGGGCUUCACCUAGCACCACCGCAAACGCCACUUUCUCAUUGUCGAUAUCCAAAUCGCAAUUGAAAUCUCUAACAUGAAUGAAGCACCACAUAUGCCAAUUCAAGUCAACUUUUUGACCAAACCACCGUGAAUCCAGCCAAUCCUCGGCCAUUGUCGAGUUUCUCACGACCAUAUCUAGCAAAUCUAACCACUAAGGUCACCAGCCCCAGCGAAAGAAACUCUAAAGGAUAACUUUAAUCUUAGGUGUUCAAGUAAAAUGGUAAUUUUAAUCUUAUGACAUCAACAAGAUUCUAACGAGCUAAGAUGACAGUGAAUAAUUAAUAAACUCUAGGUGGAUUUCUACAAAGAAAAACGUUUCUGUGUAUUUUUAAAAAAGACCCAAAGACUACAUGGUUAGUGGAUAAUUUCCUUUUUUGUUCUUAUUUUCUACUAUUAUUAACAAUAAAAGUUUUUCAAUAGUAAUUGUUCCAACCAUUAUAACAAUUAUUAUUGUUAUUGCUGUUGUUGUUGUUGUUGUACAACAAUUGUGAAAUUCUAUCUACACAACCCAGGAGGGCGGUGAAUUGGCUAUUAAAAUUAUACUUACAAAAAUACAAAACAAAUUAAACAAAUGCUUUAAGAAAUUUAUAAUAGCAAAAUUAAACAAUGAAUGCAAUUAAAAAAAUAAAGGAGAAGAUAACAAACAAACGAAUUUUUAUGUGUUUCGACAAAACUCGCCUAUGUUUAUGCCGCCGAGCAAACUAAGUUUGAGGAUUCCACUAUCCAAACCUUCUCAGGCUCCAAGAUUUUACAAUUGACUUUUAAUGUGUCAAUAAACUUUUAUAGUAGUAAUGUGUACACAUACCUCUUUCCCCAAGUGUUUCCCACACUUAUACUCAUAAAAUUUUGAUAUUUAAUUGAAGAUUACAAAGAUUAAUCUCUAUAAGAGUGUAUAAGCAAAUGAUAACUCAAUAAUGAUUUAAUGCAUGUAGAUAAGUAAAAUGAAAGCUCAAGAUUAGUUGUAUGAACAAGUUUUAACUUAAUUGGGAUUGAAAAAGUUGUUAGAUUUGAGUUUGAUUUGGGUUCUUCUAGUUUAAACAAUCAAACUAGUCAUAAUUGACUUUUUGAGGACCCACUGGAUUGCUGCUAAAAUAAAGAAGUUAGUUGCUAUAUUGAUGUGGCAAGUUACCGUUACAAAUAAAAUUUAAAAACUUUUUUGCCUAAGCAAAUCGUCGCCUGAUUUAAAUGGUUAGCAGCUAUGUUUUUGGACCUGAAGCAGUUAGCCACUAUUCGUUAAGUGGUUAGUCGCUACUGUUUCAAAAUUUAUAGAUUUAAACUAAAAGUUCCUAAAAUUAUACUAUGGCCUAAAAUUUUGAAAUAUUUACAAAUAGGUCCACUUCAAGAAUUUAAUACAUUACUAAUUAAUUUCAAAGUUCUCAAAACUUUUCAGUCCAUAAAUUUGAAAACAAUUAAUUUUAUAAAAUCAUUUUUACUUACGUUUAAAACUUUUAUAUUAUAGAAAAUGAUGAUUUAAUUUGAAAAUUGUAUGAAAAAAUAUCUUGAACUCUUAAAUACUAAAUCAUGCAUAAAUUAAAUCAUAUUAGCUUUACAAGAAAUAUAACUAUGAAGAUUGCUUAAGCUAGUACCUUUAGUAUUCAUCCUUGAUUGUUGUUGUCUAUUGAGUGACUUGAAAUUGAUCUCACUUGAAUGAUUUUUGUCCUUCAAGAACUUGUCAGAUUGUGAGAAAUAAAUUUAUCAUUUUACCUUAUGUGGUUUGUUAUCAUCAAAAUUAAGGAUCAUAUAGCCGUUUACCCCAACAAUCUCUCCUUUUUUUAUGAUGACAAACACCCUAUGUAUUUUGACAUUUCUAUUGCCCCUGAGUAUAUGACAUAAUUCAAAAAAUAUAACCAAAUAUAUAAACUCACUCCCUCUAAGUACAUGAUCCAUAUAAUUGUACAACAUUUGUAAACUCUCCUUGAGUGACUCAGAAAGUAACUAAAAUACUACAAACACUCAAUCAACCCCCAUGAGCCAAAAACAUGUCAAAACACUUCAAAAUACAUGUCAAUAUCUUCUCCCCCUUCAUCAUGAAAAAUCACUCCUCUAUUAUACAAAUAUUAUCAAUAAUUAUCCCCUACAAAGAUCAUCAAUCGAAAAUCCACACAUGACCAUUAAUCAAGUAUCCAUAUACAUAAUCCAUAAUCAAUAAAGAUAAUCCAUAAAGAUAAUUAAUAAAGAUACCACAAUCAAUAACUAGAAUGCAUAAAGAUAAUCCAUAUCAACUCAAGUAUCUAUAAUGCAUAAGUAAAAUAAAAUCCAUCAAGUAUCCAUAAUGCUAAAAACGAAAAUGCAUAUGAUAAAUAAUGUCGGUGCAUAAAACAAGGAAGCAAAAGAGAUAAAAGAAAAUCACUGAUGAGGCAGCAAACAUGAUAAUAAGGAUGGUGGCGAAAAUUUGAGAGCAAUGAAAAUAAGCUGGUGAUGGUCUAGAAUUUGUUGUUGUUGAAGAAAGAGACGCUGCUGCUCAGAAAGAAAAUGAUCCUGGAAUGCUGCGAACGAUAUCUUAAGUUCGUUUUACUGUUCGGAUAUGGAACGCACUUUAUUCAACAACUGCUGGAUUGGGUUAUUGGGAAUGGCUGAAGAUGAUGAUGGUGGAGCAUCAGAAGGCCAAUGUAGAGCUUGUGACCUCAGGGAAGAACUAAGAUCAAGAACCCAGUAAGGGGAAGCACAUCGUUAAAGAUGCAAUGAUAAAAAAGAGCCAGCUUUGUGGGUUUUCUCAACAAGUUCUAAUUUUUAACCUAUUGGUCAUCUACCCACCCAAAUCCUAAGCUAGCAAUGACCUCAUCCCUUAACUCCUUGGGUUCAUCAUGAGAUGGUUCAGCUAUAGGGACCCAAAAAUAUUGAAGGAUAUGGGUAAUGACACUACCAACCGAAAAGGAUAGGUUUCCUAUACUCAGUGUAUUAAGCAUGUGCUGAAUGAUAAUAUUCUCACAUUUAGCUUUUACCCUCAAGGAUGCUAUCUAAUAAAGUAACAUCUAAGCGUGUAACCUCAGCACCAUGUCCCUUGUGAGGACUGAUCACAAGCUGAAGGACAUUAUGUAGGAUCCGAACUUGAAGAGGCAACACUUGUGAUCUAAGAGAGGAGUUAAAAAGCUCCAUGGAUAGAUCAGAUCACCUACAUAUGUUUCGAACAUCUAUGUUUCAAAUAUCAUCUACAACUAAAUACCAGGGAUAAUCAAUUUUAAUCCUAGAUGUAUACAAAUGCAACCUAUCAUCUAGGAUUCAUGUUUAAAUCUUCUACAGUAAACUUAAUAGGAAUCCCAAUAACAUUAGUAAUAAUCAUGUUGGCAAUAUUUGUAGAAAUAAGCAUGUUCGAAUAAAAUACUCGUACCAAAUUAGGACAAAUAUGUUCCUUAAGAACUAAGACAUUUGUCCAACCCAAUUCAGCAAGUAAAGUUCUAAGAUUUUUGCUACAACUUGAAAAAUUUUCUAAUUAAUCAAGAUUAACAUAUAUAGUAUGGGAGGACUGACCUUGUCAUAAAUCGAUCAGAGAAUCAUUCCAUUGAGGCAGAUUUGGGAAGUGGGUGGAAAUGAAUUUCAAAAUGUCUUUAUGAAUCUUUUUUUUUUUACAUUUUAGGCAUAUGCUUACCCUUGGACUUCUCACCACUAGCCAUUAAGAAAUUAUCAAAAUGUGUCCAAAAUUGCACAAAUUCGAGUUCACAAAGUUUUUAAAGAAAUAGAUGAUUUUGAACCGAUUAAAAUGUUCUUUGAGAAGAUCUAAGGAAUGUAUGGGUUUAUUUUGGUCGAAAAUGGUCAAAUAAUGGUUCAAAUUUGAGAAUGUUGAAACUGGUGACUUAGGCUUUAAGAUUUUGAGAGAAGAAUGAUUAGAUUGUGUUUUAAAAGCAAAUGUGUGAAGAUUAAUUGAUGGGAAAUGAUUUGGAAAGUUUAAUUUGACACAAAAGUGAUGUAAAAAUGGAAGAUUUUAGAGAGAGAGUAAAAGAAAUGAGAGAUGACAGUGAUAGAGAGAGGGUAACAACUGAAAGUAGGAAAAAGAAGAUGAACAACAUUUGAAAAUGUGAAGCCAGCUAGCCUCUUGAAGAAAGCGGUUAACCGUUUCAUUUUUAGAAACCAAGCAAUUAACCGUUUACUUUGAGCCGGCUGGCCAGCUAGUUUCUGCCUCACAAUUGGCUAGUCGCUUGUGGUUAACGGUUAGCUAGUUCCUCUAAAUUUUGCAUGAUUUUGCUUUUUGGCCAAAAUUUAAUUAAUUUUGAGACCAUUUUGUGAUCCCGAAGUAUUUCAAAAGCCAUUUUUAAUGCAUAAGAUAUGAUGAUAAAUAUUCAAAGAAGUAAAUUCAAGCAUAUAAAACAUUAAAAUCAAGUUUUUAUCAUACAAUCAAUCAAGAUAGAAAAUCAAGCAAAUUUGUAGUCUCAAUAUCAUGCAACGAAAUAUUGAUGUGAAAAUGUCAUCAUUCCAAACUCAAUCCAAAUCUUUGAAAACUAUUCUUCACAAAAAGGCUUUGUAAAAAUAUCAACAAGUUAUUUUUCUAUAGAAACAAAUUCUAAAGCAAUAUCUCUCAUUUGAACAUGAUCACGUGAGAAAUAAUGCCUAGUUUCAAUAUGUUUGGUCCUAGAAUGUUGAAUGAGAUUCUUUGACAAAUUUAUUGAGCUAAUAAUUUAUAUGAGUUCCCUUAGACCAAGAUCAAUUGUUCCUCAUAAAUAAUGAAAAAUUAUUUUAACCGCAAGCAAAUGAGAUUCUUUGAGAUAUGGUUGAAAUCAUGCACACAAACAUACACUAAAGUAAUGUCUACUAGCAGUAAAGUAAAGUAAAGAUAUGAUCAUACCUCGAUAUCUUUUGAUACAACAUCUUUACUUUUUUUAUCCUUAUCGAGCUUGAUUGUAGUACUCAUUGGAGUGUCCUUAGUCCUGAAUGCAAAAUCUUUUGAGUAGAUCUCUGAAAUACUUGGCUUGAUUAAUGAAUUCUUUUUUUCUUUUAAAUUUUAAGUCCAAGAAAGUACUUCUAUUCUCCCAUCAUGCUCAUCUCAAAUUCUCUACUCAUGCAAGAUGAAAAUUCCUUACACAGAAACUCAUUAGUAGAACUAAAGAUAAUAUCAUCAAUAUAAAUUUGAACAAGUAUACCUUGAUCCUUGUAUUUAACAAAUAGAGUAGUAUUCGCUUUACCCAUUGAAAAACUAUUUUCUAAAAGAAAUUUACUAAGUCUAUCAUAUCAUGCUCUAGAUGCUUACUUUAAACUAUAUAAAACUUUGGACAACUUGUAAACAUGAUCCAAAAACAUUUUUCGUUUUUAAAAUGAGGGGGUUGUUUCACUUAAGCUUCUUCAUAAUACAACUAUUUAGAAAGGUGCUUUUAGCAUCCAUUUAAUAUAAAAUAAAAUCAUUAUGAUAUGCAAAUAAUAAAAGCAUGUAAUGGAUUCUAAUCUAGAUACAUGUGCAAAGGUUUCAUCAAAAUCAAUUUCUUCUUUUUGGUUGCAUCAUUGAGCUACUAAUCUAACUUUAUUCCUUACAACCACACUAGAUUCAUCGAUUUUAUUCAUAAAUACCCAUUUACUGCUUAUUACAGAUUGAUGUUAUGGUUUAUGAAUAAGUUUCCAUACAUUGUUUCAUUCAAAUUGAUUUAACUUUUCUUGUAUUGCUAUAAUCCAAGAUUCAUCAUUUUCCACAUCUGAAAAAGAUUUUGGUUCAACUUGAGAUAUGAAUACAGUAUGUUCACAUGUAUUUCUAAGUGAUUAUCUAGUAGUUAUACCUCAUGAAGGAUCUCCUAAGAUUAAGUCUUAGGGUGUGAAGAGACAUACCUUAGCUCCUUGGAGCGUGUUUGUGAAUUACCUUCAUUUUGAAUCUGUUUAACUUGUUCUUCUUGUUGCUUAUCUUGAUUUUUACCUCGUAAAUCAUCUUGUUUGUCUUUUAAAGACUUUUUGUUUUGUAACUCUUCAUAUGCAUCAUCAUCAACAACAACUUCCUUCAUAGAAGAAAAGUUAGAUUCAUCAAACAUAACAUGUAUAGAUUCUUUAGUGACCAAGGAUCUUUUAUUAUACACUCUAUAAGUUUUGCUUGUAUUUGAAUACCCAAGAAAAAUAUCAACAUCAGAUUUUAGAUUAAAUUUACCAAGAUUGUCUUUUGUAUUCAAUAGAAAACAUUUGCAACCAAAAACUUUAAAAUAGUCAAUGUUUUUUCUAUUUUUCCAAAGCUCAUAAGGAGUUUUAUUUAGGUAAGGUCUAAUCAAUGCACGAUUUAAAAUAUAACAAACAAUGUUGACGGCUCCAACCCAAAAAUAUUCUAGUAAAGCAUUUUCAUUUAACAUGGUCCUAGCCAUUUCUUGGAUAGACCUAUUCUUUCUCUCAACUACUCAAUUUUAUUGUGGAGUUCUUGGUGACAAGAAUUGAUGCUCAAUGCCAAAGUUAUUGUAAAAAUUUUCAAAAUAUAAUUUUCAAAUUCUCCACCAUGAUCACUUCUAAUGCAAGAAAUAACAUAUCAUUUUUUAUUUUGAACCUUUUUAUAGAAAUUUUGAAAGCAUUAAAGGUGUCAUCUUUAUUAGUUGAGAGUAAUACCAUGUGUAUAUAGAAUAAUCAUCUAUAAUUAUAAAUGCAUAAUAUUUACCACUUAAACUAGCAUAUUUAGAAAAUUCAAACAAAUCCAUGUGAAAAAGUUAAAGUGGUUUUGAAGUAGAAAUAUGAAUUUUAUUUUUAAAGGACGUUUUAUUUGUUUUCUAAAUUGGCAAACUUCACAAAUUCUAUCUUUUUUAGAACCAAUUUUUAGAAGACCUAUAACCAAAUCAUUUUAAAAAAAUUUUGAAAUCAAAUCCAUGCUCGCAUGACCUAGUCUUCCAUGCCAUAUCAACUAUCAUCAUGUAAUGUGAAAAAAAUAUUUAUCAUGAGUUGAUACACUAUCUAUAUCAAUGGUGUAUACAUUAACACAUCUUUAUCUAACAAAUAAAACUUUGCCAUCACAUGCAUUUUUAAUAACACAUUUUGUUUUAUAAAAAAUAACUCUAUAGCCUUUAUUACAUAAAAAUAACUUUGUAACCUUUAUCACACAAUUGACUAAUACUAAGCAAAUUCUAAAGCAAUAUAUUUCAUUUUUCUUUUUCAAAUCAUUUACAAGUAAACCUUUAUUCUUAGAUGAAACAUUUUGUUUUUUCUUUAAAAGAUGCAAUUUCUUCACAAAUACUUCUAGGCACUUAAUCUUUUUAUUCAAAGUGUCAUUCUCAUUUAAAAGUUCUACUUUUUUCUUUCCAAGAGAAACAUUUUACAUUUCAAUCUUCUUUAAAUCUUUAUGCAAUUUAGAGAAUACUUCAAACAACUCAUCCUAAGAGGUUUACCUCAUCAAGUUCAUCUUCUAUAAUCAUCUCCUAUAACCAUAAGUGCCAAAUUUGACACUUCAUGGGACUACUCUUCAUCUAUAGUCUCCUUAUCGCUAUCAUCCCGUGUUGCUACCAUGGCUUUCUUCUUUAAUUUUUUGAGAAAAGGACAUGCUAGUUUUAUGUGUCUAGGCUUCCUGCAUUUAAAGCAAGUAAUUGCCUCCUUCUUCUCUUUCUGAUUUUUGAAUUUCCUUCGCUCGAUGGAUUUCUUGAAAAUUAUUUUGAAUUUUCCAGCUAUCAUAGCCAUGUCUUCAUUUUCGAUCUCACUUUCGUUGUCACUUCUAGAUCUUGAUGCUUUUAAGGAAAUACUCUUCUUCUUCUCGUCUUCAUUAUAUUUUUUAGUUGUCAAAUCCUUUUCAUAAGAAAUAAAUGAACUAAUUAAAUCAUCAAUAGAUAAAGUAUCCUUGGCUUCCUUAAUGGCAAUUUUCUUAGGUCUCAAUUCUUUUGGUAAAGACCUACUGAUUUUUUUUACCUUCUCGCUGUUUGAAAAGGUUUUUCUAAGAGUUCCUAAAGUGUUUAUAAUGUCUGUUAAUCUAGUGUAUAUAGGAUUAACACUCUCAUUUUGUUCCAUUUAUAGCAAUUCGUAUUGCCUAGUAUAUUUACUAAUUUUAGACUAUUUGACUUGAUUUGUAGCUUUAUAAACGACUUUAUGUUUUUUCCAAAUUUCAUAAGCAUUGGAACAACCUUAAACUCUAUAGAAUUCUUUUUUAUCUAAGGCACAAAACAAAGCAUUCAUGACUUUGAAAUUAAGAGAAUCUUUUCUCUUUUCCGACUCAUUCCAUUCUUGUGAAGGUUUUAGAAUUUCUUUCCCUUCUUCAUUUUUAGCAGUAGGCAUGAAUGGACCAUCACAAUCAACUUCCUAUAUUUCAUAAUAUAAUGCUUGCAAAUAAAUUCUUAUCAUAAUUUUCCAACAUAGAUAAUCAUUCCCAUCAAAGAAUGGUGAUCUAGUAAGGGAUUAACCUUCCCCAAAUCUGGGAUCAUUUUGGAUUACUAUGGAUCUUUUACUCUAGAUGGUUAAGUCCUAACAAGAGAACUUCCUCUGAUACCAAAUGAAAUUCUAGCUAAGCAACCCAAGAGGGGGUGAAUUAGGUAUUAAAAAUUAUACUAACAAAAACACAAUACAAAUUAAACAAAUGCUUCAAGAAAUUUAAUAAUGGUAAAUUUAACUAUGCGUGAAAUUAAAAAGAUAAGGGAGAAGAUAACAAACACAUGAAUUUUUAUGUGGUUCGGCAAACCCGCCUAUGACUACGCCUCCAAGCAAUCCAAACUUGAGAAUUCUACUAUCCAAACCUUCCAAGGCUCCAAAAUUUUACAAUUGACUUCUAAGGUGUCAAUAAACCUUUACAAGUAAUUAUGUAUACACACACCUCUUUUCCCAAGUGUUUCCCACACUUAUACUCACUCAAUUUUGAUAUUUAAUUGAAGAUUACAAAGAUUACACUCUAUAAGAGUGUAUAAGCAAAUGAUAGCUCUAUAAUGAUUAAUGUAUGUAGAUAAGCAAAAUGAAAGCUCAAGAUAUAUGAAUAAGUUUUAGCUUAAUUGAGAUUGAAAAAAAUUGUUAGAUUUGAAUUUUAUAGUUUAAACAAUCAAACUAGCAAUUAUUGGCUUUUCUAGGGACUUGCUGGAUCGCCGUUAAAAUGAGGCGAUUAGCCACUAUGUUGAUAUGGUAAGUUACAGUUGCAAAUCAAAUUUGAAAACUUUGGUUCAAGCAGAUUACCACUUGAUUUAAGCGGUUAGCUGCUAUGUUUUUGGACUUGAAGUAGUUAGCCGCUAUUGGUUAAGCGAUUAGCCACUAUUGUUCUAGGAUUUAUAGAUUAGACCUAAUUUUUUUGAAAUUAUAUUACGACCCAAAACGUUUGAAAUAUUUAUAAAUAUGUCAAUUUCGAUGAUUUAAAACAUUAUUAGUUGAUUUCAAAGUUCUCAAAACUUUUCAAUUUAGUCCAUAAAUUUGGAAAAAGCAACUAAUUUUAUAAAAUCGUUAAAACUUUUAUAUUAUAGAAAAUGAUGAUUUAAUUUAAAAAUGUCAUGAAAAAUAUCUUGAGCUUUUAAAUGUUACAUCAUGCACACGUUCAAUUAUACUAUCUUUACAAGAAAUUUAACAAUAAAGAUUGCUUAAACUAGUACCCUUAGUAUUCAUCCUUGAUUGUCAUUGUCUAUUGAGUAUCUUGAUCUUGAUCUCACUUGAAUGAUUUUUGCCCUUCAAAAACUUGUGAGAUUGUGAGAAAUAAAUUUACCAUUGUACUCUAUGUAGUUUGUUAUCAUCAAAAUCAAGGAUUAUAUAACCAUUUAGGCCAACAAAAUAUUAUAAUAAAUAAUAAUUAUUAUGAUAAAAAAUUAAAGAUAUUUUGUAAUUUGUAACAACUCAUCGUGAUUUUAAAAUAAAAUAAAUAUAUCAAUGAUGAUAUAAUUUAUUUUAAUUUUAAUUUUUACAAUUUAAAUAAAUUAAUUAAUUAUCAUUCCAUAUUUUAAUUCCAACUCAUUCCAUUCCAAUUCAUUCAUAUUUUAAUCAGUAUAUCAACUACCCCCGAGCAAUGCCCGAAAGACAUUGAGGCAAGGGCCACAGAAAAAUAUGCACUUGUUAGCUUAGCGUUGGUGUCAAGUUUCUUUAGCAUUUUAAAUUCAUAAAAGAACUUAUAGUGUUUCUUCAUCCUUUGGCCUUUUCGGUGUUUACUUUCUGGAGUGAGUGUCAGCAGUGUGAAUUCCUCCCACUCCAGUGUUUACUUCACCAUUUUAAGGAGGGAUUGGGAAUCCCACUCCAUGGACCCCACUCAUUUUUGGAGUGGGGAGUGUGAGUGGGACUCCCAUGGGAAACCCACUCCCACCUCUCCAUUUUCUACUUUUAUUUAAUUAAAUUUAAUAUUUUAUAUUUAAUAAAAUAAAAUAAAAUAAAUAAUAUUAUUAUAUUAAUAGAGAAUUAAUAAUAUUACUAUAUGCUAUCUUUAUUUGAAGAUAUCAUAUUAUUAUAUUUAUUUAAAAAUAAUAGUAUUAUAUUUAUUUAAUAUUAAUAAUUAAUAAUAAUAAAUAGUUUAUUCUAAGAAAAUAUUAAUUUUGUACUAAAUAAUAUUAUAUUAUUAUUUAUAUAAUAAUAAAUUUAAUAUAAUAAAAUAAAAAAAUAUUUCAUUUUAUAUUUACCUUCCUUUUUUAACCCCCUUUUAUUAAAUUUACUAUAAUUAUAUUUAAUAAAAUAAAAUAAAUAAUAUUUUAUUUAUUUAAAUAAUAUUAUUAUAUUUAACUAAAUAAUAAUUUGGUUUGAUUCUAAGUUUAAAUUACUUAAAAAUAAUAAUAUUAUAUUAAUAGAGAAUUAAUAAUAUUACUAUAUACUAUCUUUAUUUGAAAAUAUAAUAUUAUUAUAUUUAUUUAAAAAUAAUAGUAUUAUAUUUAUUUAAUAUCAAUAAUUAGUAAUAAUAAAUAGUUAAUUAUAAGAAAAUAUUAAUUUUGUACUAUGUUCAUAGUAAAAAUGUUUCAUUUACAUUGCUCUUAUCAAUAAUUUUUAAUUUAUAUAAUUAAAAUUAAAAUUAAUAAAAAAUUAUGAUGUACAUAAUUAAGAAUAUUAAUAAUUAUUAUAAAUUUACAAAUAUAAUAAAAUAAAUGUUUAUUCAUUAAACAUAUUUUUUUAUUAACUUUGUAAUUAAAAACUAUAAUUCUUUAAAUAAAGGUAAAAUUAUAAUUUGAAACUAUUUACUUCCAAUCCAAGAUAAAGUAAACACAUAAAUUGGAUUAUAAUUUUCAUUCCGUGCUUAUAUUCCAGUGUAAGUAAACAACUUACACCCACUUUUACUCCAUACUCUCAAUCCUAAGAUUUCCACUCUUCAAGAUUCUCAGUCCAAUCCAAAAUGUAAACACUAUCUAUGGUAAUUGUUCACGCAACUAUUUUAAUCGAAAAUAUUUUAAUCGAAAAUAUUUUAAUCGAAACUAAUAGACCUUUCAACAAUUUUAAUCGAAAAUAAUAGACCUUUUAACAAUUUUUGCGGAUUCUGGCAAUUGUUCAGGCAACUAUUUUAAUAGAAAAUAUAUAUGGCUCCAUAAACAAUGAUUAUCUCUUGACAGCUGUUCUGGACUCGCUAUUUGUACUGAAAUAGAAGAUUAUCUCUUGAUGAUUAUUUAAUUGAAAAGAAUUUGUCGUUUAUAUUUGUUCACCUGGCCUUUGGAUGAGGAUCACAUGUUUUAUGACAAUCGUAAUGUUACUAAUGUAAGUCAAGCAAUUAUUUUUAAAUAAUGAUAUUAUAAUUAAAAAUCUAAAAACAUUUAUAAUACUUAAAGACUAAUUCAGAUUAUUAAUUUUUUUAUAUGACUUCAUUAUUAGCUGACAAAUAAUUAAAAGGCCAUAGAUCAAUAUUUUUAGGUCCAAUUUUUAAUUUAAUAUGACACAACUUGUACUUUCAUUCCUAUACUAAAGUAUAUCGAACCUACUAAUAAUUAAGAAAUAUAUAUAUUCAACACAUAUUUGUUAGAAAGAUUAUCUACUAAUUAAUCAUUGAUUACGAGAUUAAUAUAUUGAAAUUCAGAACUUUUUUUUUUCCUUCUGCAGUUUAAAAAGGAGUCGCCCUCUUGAUCCCCGUAUUCGUCAGCUUCUACUCUUUGCCUUCAAUUCUCAGUCAAGAAAACCUCUCCUGAUUUUCGUCUUUUGAUCUCAUACACACUUUGCUUCUGUUUAUCGUGGUCACUGCUCGUGCUAGCCGUUUUCUUAUUUAUCUUUGUUCCCUUUUUCCAUCAGCUCUUUGCAUUUUCAUUGGAUCAAGCAACCCUUUUCUUGAUUCAAUUUUCUGAUCUCAAAAACACUUUGAUUCGCUUCUGUUACACUGAUUUUCCCCUUGUUUUGUACAAAUAUCAUUUCUUUUUUCAACUUUGCCUUGUUUUGCUUCUACUUGAUUAUCAAUUGCACAGCCGUUGACCCUGUUCUAUUUCUAUUUCGUUCACUUCCCCAAAAAAAAAAAAAAAAAUGGACAUUUUGAAAAGCAUUGUUCCAGGAGUUGUAAACUGCUUGUCUCCUCACGCACAACGCGAAUUUUGUUAUUGGUAUAACUCCGCUGCCAACUUUGAGAAUCUCAAGGAAGAACUCGAUAGGCUCAAGGAUGAAAGAGAAAGCGUUCAGCGCAGAGUUUCUGAGGCUGAAAGAAAAAGUGAAAAGAUUGAAGAGAAGGUUGAGAAAUGGCUGGUUAAUGCGAACAAGAGCAUUGAGGAGGCAGCCAAAUUCAUUCUAGACGAAGAGAAAGCAAAUGAACGAUGUCUCAUGGGGCUGUUUCCUAAUUGGAUUACUCGCUAUCAGCAUGGAAAGAAAGCAGAAACAGAGAAGGAGGCCCUUUUUAAACUCCGAGAAGAAGCUGGGAGAUUUGAUGAUAGAAUUUCCUACCGUACCAUUCCGGAGGAGAUUUGGCUCAAGUCUCACAAAGGCUACGAGGCCUUCGAAUCAAGACGUUCUACUUUGGAGGCUAUAAAAAAGGCAUUGAUCGAUGUUGAUGUCAGCAUCAUUGGGGUGUACGACAUGGGCGGCAUUGGAAAGACGACACUGGUGAAGAAGGUCGCCAGGCAAGCUAUGGAAGACAAGCACUUUGAUAUGGUGGUCUUUUCAGAGGUUUCGCAAACUCCAGACAUAAAACAGAUUCAACAGGAAAUUGCCGAGAAGUUGGGCUUGGAGUUGCGCGAGGAAGCUGAAUCUAGAAGAGCUAGUAGACUAUAUGAAAGAUUGGAGAAUGAGAAGAAGAUCCUUGUGAUUCUGGAUAACAUCUGGAAACCUCUUGAUUUGGGGACUAUUGCAAUUCCUUUUGGAGAAGAUCAUAAAGGCUGCAAACUACUGCUGACAGCAAGAGAUCGUAGUCUCCUCUUAAAAAUGGGAUCUAAAGACAACUUUUUGAUAAACAAUUUAAAUGAAGAAGAAGCCUGGAGAUUGUUUAAGAUGAUGGCCGGAGAUGAUGUUGAAAAUCGUGAGUUGAAAUCUACAGCAAUAGACGUCGCCAGGGCAUGUGGAGGUUUGCCCAUUGCCUUGACUACAGUGGCAAAGGCACUGAGAAGCAAGAGUCUUCAUGAAUGGAAGAAUUCCUUGCGAGAACUCCGAACGCCUUCAAUGGUAAACUUCGAAGGAGUAUCUGCAGAGACUUAUUCAAGUAUUGAGCUGAGUUUCAACCAUUUAAAAGGUGAGCAACUCAAGAAAAUUUUUCUGCUCUGUAGUCUAAUGGAUAACCGUAUUCUUACUUCGGACUUGUUUAAGUACUCCAUGGGUUUGGGUAUAUUUAAAGGAGUCAAUAAGAUGGAAGAUGCACGAGACAAAUUAUAUGCAUUGGUCCAUGAACUUAGACACUCUUGUUUGUUGCUUGAGGGUGAGAGCAAUGAACAAUUUUCAAUGCAUGAUGUUGUUCGUGAUGUCGCAAUAUCAAUUGCAUGCCGCCACCAACAUGUGUUUUUGGUGAGAAAUAAGGAUGUGUGGGACUGGCCAGAUGAGGAUGCACUUCGAAAAUGCAAUGCGAUCUCUUUAAGAAAUAAUAGUAAUCGUGAAUUUCCUGAAGGAUUAGAAUGCCCAAACCUUGAAUUUUUAUUUAUCUCUCUCAAAGAUUCUUCUCUUGAAAUCAAUAUUCCUGAGAACUUUUUUGUAGGGAUGAAAAAGCUUAGAGUUCUAGAUUUUACUCGAAUGCAGUUUUCUUCUUUUCCAUCUUCAAUUGAUCUUCUACCAAAUCUUCAGACACUAUGUCUGGAUCAAAGUGCGUUGGGGAACAUAGCAAUCAUUGGAAAGUUGAAGAAUCUAGAAGUCCUUAGCUUUUUGAAGUCUGAUAUUAUGCAGUUGCCCGGAGAACUAGGUCAAUUGAAUAAGUUGAGAUUGUUAGAUUUAACCAAUUGUUUCCAUCUAAAAGUUAUUGCGCCUAAUCUCAUAUCAAGCUUAACUCGAUUAGAAGAGCUGUAUAUGGGUAAUUGCUUCAUUGAAUGGGAGGUUGAAAGAGCCAACAGCAAAAGAAGUAAUGCUAGCCUUGACGAAUUGAUGCAUUUACCUCGGCUAACCACUCUAGAAAUUGACGUUAAAAGUGACAAUAUUUUACCAGAAGGUUUUUUGGCCAGAAAGCUCGAAAGGUUCAAAAUAUCUAUUGGAAAUGAGUCAUUCAUGCCUCCCAAGAGUGUUAGAGGAUCAACAGUUAUCGCAAGAGUUUAAGAGGAUUGAAGCUCAAGCUUGAUUUUAUGGACAUUUGCUCCAUGAAAUUGCAGGGCAUCAAUAACGUUGAAUACUUAUGGUUGGACAAGCUGCAAGGCACCGAGAAUGUUCUUUUCAAUUUGGACACGGAGGGCUUUUCACAAUUGAAGCUUCUCUGGGUUCAAAAUAAUCCUGACUUCUUUUGCAUCGUCGAUUCAAGGGAGAUGGUCGCUUGUGAUGCCUUUCCUCUUUUGGAGUCACUUACCAUUCGCAAUUUGAUCAACAUGGAGAGGAUAUGUAUUGAUCGGCUCAAAGUAGAGUCUUUCAACAAACUCAAAACCAUAGAAGCAUAUAAUUGUGAUAAAUUGAGUAAUAUCUUUUGGCUCUCUACAACAAAAUGUCUUCCAAGACUUGAGAGAAUUGCAGCUAUUAAUUGCAGCAAGAUGAAAGAGAUUUUUGCAAUUGGGGAAGAAGUUGAUAAUGCAAUUGAGAAGAUAGAGUUUGCUCAAUUAAGAUCUUUGAGUCUGGGGAAUCUUCCAGAGGUUACAAGUUUUUGCCUCCAUGAGGUGAAGACUCCUUCAGCAUCACCGAACAGACAAGUGUCGCAAGAGGAAUCGACGACUAUGUAUUGCUCCAGCGAAAUCACUUUGGAUACUUCAACUCUGCUUUUCAACGAGAAGGUGCGUAGGCUAACAUUUUCUUCAUAUGUAACAGAUUUUAUUCAUAUAUAACGUUCUCUUUUGACGUCAUACGUGGAAAAUAAUUAAAUCAUUUAAAGAAUUGAAAGAAAAUGGAAAAAAGGAUAAAAAGAAUCUCACUCGCUCACUAAUUGAGCUCUUAACAAGUAGUAUGAAUUAGAAUGCAUACUCAGCUGUCAGUUGGAAAUUGAUUCAGACUUGCAUUAAUUUGCAAUCAAAGAAGAAAUUUUCAACAAGUGCUUCCCAUAUGGAAAUUGGAUCUAACGAGGAAUUCUUAUUUUUUUAGGUUGCGUUGCCUAACUUGGAGGCUUUGGAGAUAUCUGAAAUUAAUGUCGACAAGAUUUGGCACUACAAUCACCUUCCGAUCACGUUUCCUCGCUUUCAAAAUUUAACACGAUUGAUUGUGUGGCAUUGUCACAAAUUAAAAUACAUAUUUUUAGCGUCUAUGAUCAGAAGCCUUAAGCAGCUCCAACACCUAGAAGUACGCUUCUGUGAGGAUUUACAGGAGAUCAUUUCUGAGAACAGAGCAGAUGAAGUGAUCCCUAAUUUUGCCUUUUCACAGCUCACCACUCUGAGACUCGAAGAUCUACCAAAACUUAGAUAUUUGUACCCUGGAAUGCAUACUUCGGAAUGGCCCGCACUAGAAAUUCUUUUAGUGUAUCGUUGUGACAAAUUAAAUAUAUUGGCUGCAGAUUUAUCGCAGAAUAAUGAGAAUGAUCAACUUGGUAUUCCUGCACAACAGCCCCUAUUGCAGUUGGAAAAGGUAUGAAGCC